rnacentral:rRNA from 1 species
UACGUAGGGGGCAAGCGUUGUUCGGAUUCAUUGGGCGUAAAGGGUGCGUAGGCGGCGCGGUAAGUCGGGUGUGAAAUCUUGGAGCUUAACUCCGAAACUGCAUUCGAUACUGCCGUGCUUGAGGACUGGAGAGGAGACUGGAAUUUACGGCGUAGCGGUGAAAUGCGUAGAUAUCGUAAGGAAGACCAGUGGCGAAGGCGGGUCUCUGGACAGUUCCUGACGCUGAGGCACGAAGGCCAGGGGAGCAAACGGG